rnacentral:rRNA from 1 species
GCGUUGUCCGGAAUUAUUGGGCGUAAAGCGCGCGUAGGCGGUUUCUUAAGUCUGAUGUGAAAUCUUGCGGCUCAACCGCAAGCGGCCAUUGGAAACUGAGGAACUUGAGUACAGAAGAGGAGAGCGGAAUUCCACGUGUAGCGGUGAAAUGCGUAGAUAUGUGGAGGAACACCAGUGGCGAAGGCGGCUCUCUGGUCUGUAACUGACGCUGAGGUGCGAAAGCGUGGGGAGCGAACAGGAUUAGAUACCCUGGUAGUCCACGCCGUAAACGAUGAGUGCUAGGUGUUAGGGGGUUUCCGCCCCUUAGUGCUGCAGUUAACGCAUUAAGCACUCCGCCUGGGGAGUACGGCCGCAAGGCUGAAACUCAAAAGAAUUGACGGGGGCCCGCACAAGCGGUGGAGCAUGUGGUUUAAUUCGAAGCAACGCGAAGAACCUUACCAGGUCUUGACAUCUUCGGAUGUCCCUAGAGAUAGGGAGUUCCCUUCGGGGACCGAAUGACAGGUGGUGCAUGGUUGUCGUCAGCUCGUGUCGUGAGAUGUUGGGUUAAGUCCCGCAACGAGCGCAACCCUUGAUCUUAGUUGCCAGCAUUUAGUUGGGCACUCUAAGGUGACUGCCGGUGACAAACCGGAGGAAGGUGGGGAUGACGUCAAAUCAUCAUGCCCCUUAUGACCUGGGCUACACACGUGCUACAAUGGAUGGAACAAAGGGCAGCGAAGCCGCGAGGUGUAGCAAAUCCCAUAAAUCCAUUCUCAGUUCGGAUUGCAGGCUGCAACUCGCCUGUAUGAAGCCGGAAUCGCUAGU